rnacentral:lncRNA from 1 species
UAAGGUAUCUAUAAAUUGUGAGUAGGCCUGAAAACACUUUCAAUUUCAAAAAGAAAAGUAUCUAUUAUUUUGACUUUUGAUAAGAAGUUAAAAAAAUACCUGAAAAUGACACUGCAGUUGGAGCAGCUAUAAAGAAUUAAAUAGGGGUAUACAUGGCUUUGUAUUAGAGCACAGCCCUUCUAAUUGAUAGGUUAAAAAAUGAAGAACAAGUAGCAAUAGUGGCAUAUGAUAUAUUCAGAAAGAUUUAAAAGAUAUUCUUUUACCAAAUGGUGCAAAUGAAAGUAAGCUGUCAAACUGACAGCACAAUAAUGCCAUCUUCACAAUAGCACAUCCUGUACCACAGUGGAAAUUAUUUCAGUUUUACAGAGAAAUUAAAGAUACGUUCUGAGGAAAAAUAGCUGAAAUUUUUUUUGUUGUUGUUGCAAUUUUAGAAUCAUCAUUGCUUUCUAGAAUCCACUCCAAACAUAGCCAGAAGAAUAACCAUAAUAAAUCAUGAUAAUUUAUAUCAGCUUAUUUUGGGGAAGUAGCAUCAGAUACACUUCAUACUACUUACUCAAACUAUAAUUAUUUUCAUUAAACUAUAAAAUUGCUUACAGCAGAUUUACUCUAAACACAUAAAAUCAUAUCCUUAACAAUGAGCGCUUCUAGACCCUAAGUGUUCAAAAUAACUGAAAUCAAGUGUAAAAUAGCAGUCCUUGAUUUAUACUUUUUAAUUAUAUAUCUUUGUAGACAUAAUCAAUGUACUUUUGUGGGCUUAUAAUAUAUUCCUUUUUAUUUUGUUGAAACAUACGACAGGCUUAUUCAUUCUCCAUCCUGUUAAUUAAAAGGUAGUGUAAAAAGAAACUUAUGAAAAUGAUGUCAGGUGCCUAUUACCACAAACUCCCAAGUAGUUUGUGUCUGUCAAGAGUACAGAUUAAUCCAGAAAUGAAGGGUCUGGGGAAAAAGCUGAUAGGUUUUGUGCUUUGCAAAAUGGGGAGGUGAUAAGAAAGGUAGGUGAAUAACUGAAAAUUGAGGAGAUCUAAAUAUUACUCUACUGUGAGUAGUAUAGUAUUUCAUACAAAAUGAGGGCAAACUAAGAUAUUGAAAGCAAUAUAUCUGAAAUUGUAUGCCUUCCAAUAUUCUUGUUACCAAAAUAUAUAUUUACCAGCUGUC